rnacentral:rRNA from 1 species
GACAGAGGGGGCAAGCGUUGCUCGGAAUCACUGGGCGUAAAGGGCGCGUAGGCGGGAUGGCAAGUCGGUCGUGAAAUCUCUCGGCUCAACCGAGAAACGUCGGCCGAUACUGCCGUUCUUGAGGGAUGCAGAGGAGACUGGAAUUCCCGGUGUAGCGGUGAAAUGUGUAGAGAUCGGGAGGAACACCGGUGGCGAAAGCGGCGCUCUGGUCCUCUUCGUGACGCUGAGGCGCGAAAGCCAGGGGAGCAAACGGG